rnacentral:rRNA from 1 species
CCUACGGGAGGCAGCAGUGGGGAAUAUUGCGCAAUGGGCGAAAGCCUGACGCAGCGACGCCGCGUGAGGGAUGAAGGUCUUCGGAUCGUAAAACUCUGUUGGUAGAGAAGAACGUUGGUGAGAGUGGAAAGCUCAUCAAGUGACGGUAACUACCCAGAAAGGGACGGCUAACUAGGUGCCAGCAGCCGCGGGAAUACGUAGGUCCCGAGCUUUGUCCGGAGUUAUUGGGCGUAAAGCGAGCGGAGGUGGUUUAUUAAGUCUGGUGUAAAAGGCAGGGGCUCAACCAUUGGAUGCAUUGGAAACUGGUAGACUUGAGUGCAGGAGAGGAGAGUGGAAUUCCAUGUGUAGCGGUGAAAUGCGUAGAUAUAUGGAGGAACACCGGUGGCGAAAGCGGCUCUCUGGCCUGUAACUGACACUGAGGCUCGAAAGCGUGGGGAGCAAACAGGAUUAGAUACCCCUGUAGUC